GGGGCUAUGGCGCAAUUGGUAGCGCACCUGCUUUGCAAGCAGGGGGUUAGGGGUUCGAG
rnacentral:tRNA from 1 species